UUUAGUUAGUUUAUUUUAAAAUUCUUCUUUUUAAGUUUCAUAUCAUGUAUAUGUAGUUCCUUAUUAUGUUUAACCAGGGAAGCUUGAAGAUCAUCAACCACCACCCCUACUUCAAAUAGAGUUACAAAACGUAGACAUAUUCUCAGUCGUCGAUAGGUGCUCAGGAGGUGGUGACGGUGAGAGAUCAGCUGGAGAAGAAGGAGCGAGAUCCAUGAUUAUCGAGUGAGAGGAGACAGAGCCAGAGAUUAACGACGCACAAGCAGAGACUUUGGACCUUGGAGUGAAGACCAGAUCUCCAAUCGAAAUCAAUGGUCAGAAUCGUCUCCGCUUAUGAACGACGGGGCCGAGAUUCACACGUGUAACUAACCACUGUUCCCGUAAGGAUCAAAAGCAAAAUCGAGCUUGCAAGAAAAUCCAUAGCAAUACCAGUGAGAGAGAGACCAGAACUCAGAGGUUUGUCCACUUUGGGUCAAGAUCAGAGAGAUAAUACAAUCAUUUUUUGCAAUGUGUAAUCUUUUUAUUCGUGUACAAACGUCAACUUUGCUUAAAUGAUUAUCUUUCCUAUGCCA